rnacentral:rRNA from 1 species
UCUAGAACCGAUAACCCCCGUUAAACCUCACCCCCUCUUGUUCUUCCCGUCUAUAUACCGCCGUCGUCAGCUUACCCUAUGAAGGAACCGCAGUAAGCAAAACUAGUACAACUUAA